rnacentral:rRNA from 1 species
UACGUAGGGGGCAAGCGUUGUCCGGAAUCAUUGGGCGUAAAGAGCGUGUAGGCGGCCUGGUAAGUCCGCUGUGAAAGUCCAGGGCUCAACCCUGGAAUGCCGGUGGAAACUGUCAGGCUCGAGUCCGGAAGAGGCGAGUGGAAUUCCUGGUGUAGCGGUGAAAUGCGCAGAUAUCAGGAGGAACACCAAUGGCGAAGGCAGCUCGCUGGGACGUGACUGACGCUGAGACGCGAAAGCGUGGGGAGCAAACAGG